rnacentral:rRNA from 1 species
GGAAUUUUGCACAAUGGACGCAAGUCUGAUGCAGCAACGCCGCGUGUGUGAAGAAGGCUCUUGGGUUGUAAAGCACUUUCGACAGGAAAGAAGGGACCAUUUGCGAAUAGCCUGUGGUUCUGACGGUACCUGAAGAAGAAGCCCCGGCUAACUCAGUGCCCGCAGCCGCGGUAAUACGGAGGGUGCGAGCGUUGUUCGGAAUUACUGGGCGUAAAGCGCGCGUAGGCGGGUUUUCAAGUCAAUUGUGAAAUCCCGGGGCUCAACCCCGGACGUGCAGUUGAAACUGUUAAUCUUGAAUACCUAAGAGGAUGGCGGAAUUCCCGGUGUAGGAGUGAAAUCCGUAGAUAUCGGGAGGAACACCCGAGGCGAAGGCGGCCACCUGGACGGUGACUGACGCUGAGACGCGAAAGCGUGGGGAGCAAA